rnacentral:rRNA from 1 species
CGUGUAGGCGGUUUGGCAAGUCGAAUGUGAAAUCCCACGGCUCAACCGUGGAACUGCGCUCGAAACUGCCUUACUUGAGUGCGGGAGAGGUGUGCGGAAUUCCUGGUGUAGCGGCGGAAUGCGUAGAUAUCAGGAAGAACACCGGUGGCGAAGGCGGCACACUGGCCCAGCACUGACGCUGAGGCGCGAAAGCGUGGGGAGCGAACG